rnacentral:rRNA from 1 species
AUUGAACGCUGGCGGCAUGCCUUACACAUGCAAGUCGAACGGUAACGUGCAUUCGGGUGCCGACGAGUGGCGAACGGGUGAGUAAUGCAUCGGCACGAAACCAUCAGCGGGGGAUAACUAUACGAAACGAGGGCUAAUACCGACUAUUCUGUGCGCAGGAAAGCGGGGGACCGCAAGCCCUCGAGCUGGUGGAGAGGGCGAUGUCAGAUUAGCUCGUUGGUGGGGUAAAGGCCUACCAAGGCGACGAUCUGGAGCGGGUCUGAGAGGAGGAUCCGCCAAACUGGGACUGAGACACGGCCCAGACUCCUACGGGAGGCAGCAGUGGGGAAUUUUGGACAAUGGGGGCAACCCUGAUCCAGCCAUGCCGCGUGAGUGAAGAAGGCCUUCGGGUUGUAAAGCUCUUUCGGCCGGGAAGAAAUCGCAUCUCCUAAUACGGGGUGUGGAUGACGGUACCGGAAUAAGAAGCACCGGCUAACUACGUGCCAGCCGCCGCCGUAA